rnacentral:ncRNA from 1 species
AAAAAUUUUAUUUUUGUUUAAAAAUUAGGUUAAAAAAAAAUUUACAUGUAAAUUUUUAUAGGAGUAUAUGAAAAUUUAGAUAAUAUUUAUAUAAUUAAAUUCGCAGUAUAUAAUUUUAAGAAUUAGUUUAAGCUAGACUUAGAAAAUUUUUUAGUAUUAACAAAAUUUGUGCCAGCAGUUGCGGUUAUACAAAUAAUACAAUUUAAUUUUUUUUAGUAUUAUUUAUUUUAUUUAUAUAAUUUAAUUAAAGAUUUAUUAGGUGAAAUUUUAAAUUUUUUUAUAUUUAUUUAUAUGAAAUAAGAAAUUAAUAGAAAAGACUAGGAUUAGAUACCCUAUUAUUAUUAAUGUGAAAAAAUUGCUAGAUUAGUAUAAGUUAAGAUCUUUAAAAUUAAAAAAUUUGGCGGUAUUUUAGUCUAUUCAGAGGAACCUGUUCUAUAAACGAUAGUCCACGAUUUAAUUGACUUUUUUUAUUAGUUUGUAUAUCGUCGUAGGUUGAAUAUUUUUAGAGAAAAAAAAUAUUCAGAAUUUUUAUUAAAAAAAAAAUCAGAUCAAGGUAUAGCUUAUAAAAAAGUGGAAAUGGGUUACAUUUAAUUAAUUAAAGGAUUUAAUUUUGUAAAAUUUAAUGAAUAUGGAUUUGAGAGUAAUUUUUUAUAUAUUUUAAAAAUGAUUUAAGCUCUAAAAUAUGUACAUAUCGCCCGUCGCUUUCAUUAUAAUAUGAAAUAAGUCGUAACAAAGUGGGCCUACUGGAAAGUGGGCCUAGGAAGAAU